rnacentral:rRNA from 1 species
GACGAACGCUGGCGGUGUGCUUAACACAUGCAAGUCGAACGGUAAGGCCCUUUCGGGGGUACACGAGUGGCGAACGGGUGAGUAACACGUGAGUAACCUGCCCUCAUCUCUGGGAUAACAGUCGGAAACGGUUGCUAAUACUGGAUAUGAGCUUGCAAGGCAUCUUGUGGGUUGGAAAGAUUUUUUUGGUUGGGGAUGGACUCGCGGCCUAUCAGCUUGUUGGUGAGGUAGUGGCUCACCAAGGCUUCGACGGGUAGCCGGCCUGAGAGGGCGAACGGCCACAUUGGGACUGAGAUACGGCCCAAACUCCUACGGGAGGCAGCCGUGGGGAAUAUUGCACAAUGGACGGAAGUCUGAUGCAGCAACGCCGCGUGCGGGAUGACGGCCUUCGGGUUGUAAACCGCUUUCAAUUGUGACGAAGCUUUUUGUGACGGUAGCAGUAGAAGAAGCACCGGCUAACUACGUG